CCUUUUGGACUCUCUAUGAUUGGCAUGGACUGGGGGGCGACCUCAGCAUCUUAAUCAUAGACAGUUUAACAAGACAAGUAGUGAGAGUGUUAGAGAAGAGAUAGAGGCGUAGAUGAAGCAAGAACGAAGUAGUGGGCAGGCUAGAACAGCUUCUUGACUCAAGUUCUGAAAACUACAAGUUGGGAGGAUGGACUGGGGGAGACAAGAGGUCUCUGGCAGGGCGGUUGAAGACUUGGACAGGCUCCCUUGGAAGUGAGCAAGGCCACAGAGGUGCAAGAGGUGGGUGGACAGUGCUGCCUUGGGCUUGAGCCUGAGUGUCAAGUCAAGAGUUGAGAGCUGGCAGGCUUGGGUCUGUACCAGUGAGCAUACUAUGAGUUGCAAAGAUCAAGUAUGAGCACUUGUGAGCCCAAGUUUGCCAGCUGCCGUGUGUGUCCUUCCAGGAGGGACAGGCUUAUAGGGGCUGUUCUGACAUACUGUC
rnacentral:misc_RNA from 1 species